AGCGACUUUAAUGCCUGGAAUUUAUUCAAAUAUUUGAGUGAUGCAAGCUAUCGGGGCCUUAUGGCGAUUGUUCGCCUUCGUGACUAAUGUCGACAGGAAUUCGAAACAUGUGGGCGUGUGGAGGUAAUUGGUCGUCGGAAUAUGGAUAGUAAAUAAAUACCUAGUCUUUUUCUUCUUUAUUCCAUUGUUAUCAGUCUUCUUCUUGGAAUCUUUCUUGGCUGGCUGGGCCUCGUUGCUGACUGAAAAAUAAAUUACAAACGUCCUGUUUAUGUUGAAAAAUAAGAAAACCAAGAAGGCCCUGUUGGAGCGUCGUGGAGGUGGGCGUCGCCGCGCUGGACGUCGAGGUGGUCACGUCCUGGGUCUGAGGAAGAGGCGCGUACAUCCCAGCUAGCUCGAGCUCCUUCAGCUCCUUCUGUUGCUGCUGCUGUUGCAGGUG